rnacentral:lncRNA from 8 species
AUGGGUAGUUUGGCUAGGCCUAAGAAGAACCAUAAGCCAGCUACCCGUGAGUAUAUGGAGGAGCGUAUGAGGUGGAGGGCGCCAUGUUUCGCUGAGGUGCGCACUAUCUCGCCCAUACGCACGCACAGUCCGGUGCGCGCCAUUCCAGCCCCUCGCAGAUGCCGUGCUAGAGUGGGCAUCCAGCCUGGUAGGAGGAUGUCUGCGCAGCGCGUCUGGUCGCCGGUACGCCUCCUAGGACCAGGCUACCCUACUCCCGCUCUACGCACGGCAACCAUCAGGCCCCUGCACAGCCCAGUUCGCCCUGUACCAGCACCCCGCUCGUACAGGGCUGCUAGUUCCAUCCAGCCAGGACGGGUUGCGCAGGCGGUGCGGUCAAGGCCACCUGUGCGCCUCCAUGGCCCAGUCUUUCCGGUUCCUGCCUCUCGUGCUAACCCGGAAGUGAGGACCUCCAGUCUGGCACGACCAGUACCAGCAACGCGGACCAAGUUUCCCAUUAGUCAGCCUAGUCCUAUUCAGCCUGUUCCCGCUCCUCGCACUAGUCCUGGGGUGCGUGUAUCCAGCCUGUUACCUCCUCUACCAGCCCCACGCAUCAGGCGUCCAGUGCGUCAGCCCAGCCUCGAGAGCUCGGCACCAGUGUGCAGUCCAGAGUAUCCGGCACCAGUGUGCAGUCCAGAGUAUCCAGCACCAGUGUGCAGUCCAGAGUAUCCGGCACCAGUGUGCAGUCCAGAGUAUCCGGCAACAGUGUGCAGUCCAGAGUAUCCGGCAACAGUGUCUAGUCCGGUACCGAGGGAGUCUGCCUGCGACCCGGAACCGAGGGAGUCUGCCUGCGACCCGGAACCAAAGGAGUCUGUCAGCGACCCGGAACCAAAGGAGUCUGUCUAUGAUCAGGAACUGAAUAAGUGGAUAAUUAACUAUGAAUUAACUGAGUCUGCCUACAGUAUGGAACUGAAGGAAUCUGCCCACGAUCCACAACGGAGUGAGUCGGUCUACGACCCGGACCCCAAUGAGUCUGCAUACAACCUGGAGGGCAGGAGGCCGGAACCAGAGCCACCUCCAGGAUAG